UUGCACGCUGGCGGCAGGCCUAACACAUGCAAGUCGAGCGGAUGAAGGGAGCUUGCUCCUGGAUUCAGCGGCGGACGGGUGAGUAAUGCCUAGGAAUCUGCCUGGUAGUGGGGGAUAACGUCCGGAAACGGGCGCUAAUACCGCAUACGUCCUGAGGGAGAAAGUGGGGGAUCUUCGGACCUCACGCUAUCAGAUGAGCCUAGGUCGGAUUAGCUAGUUGGUGGGGUAAAGGCCUACCAAGGCGACGAUCCGUAACUGGUCUGAGAGGAUGAUCAGUCACACUGGAACUGAGACACGGUCCAGACUCCUACGGGAGGCAGCAGUGGGGAAUAUUGGACAAUGGGCGAAAGCCUGAUCCAGCCAUGCCGCGUGUGAAGAAGGUCUUCGGAUUGUAAAGCACUUUAAGUUGGGAGGAAGGGCAGUAAGUUAAUACCUUGCUGUUUUGACGUUACCAACAGAAUAAGCACCGGCUAACUUCGUG
rnacentral:rRNA from 1 species